AACAGGAUUAGAUACCCUGGUAGUCCACGCCGUAAACGAUGUCGACUUGGAGGUUGUGCCCUUGAGGCGUGGCUUCCGGAGCUAACGCGUUAGGUCGACCGCCUGGGGAGUACGGCCGCAAGGUUAAAACUCAAAUGAAUUGACGGGGACCCGCACAAGCGGUGGAGCAUGUGGUUUAAUUCGAUGCAACGCGAAGAACCUUACCUACUCUUGACAUCCAGAGAACUUAGCAGAGAUGCUUUGGUGCCUUCGGGAACUCUGAGACAGGUGCUGCAUGGCUGUCGUCAGCUCGUGUUGUGAAAUGUUGGGUUAAGUCCCGCAACGAGCGCAACCCUUAUCCUUUGUUGCCAGCGGUUAGGCCGGGAACUCAAAGGAGACUGCCAGUGAUAAACUGGAGGAAGGUGGGGAUGACGUCAAGUCAUCAUGGCUCUUACGAGUAGGGCUACACACGUGCUACAAUGGCGCAUACAAAGAGAAGCGACCUCGCGAGAGCAAGCGGACCUCAUAAAGUGCGUCGUAGUCCGGAUUGGAGUCUGCAACUCGACUCCAUGAAGUCGGAAUCGCUAGUAAUCGUGGAUCAGAAUGCCACGGUGAAUACGUUCCCGGGCCUUGUACACACCGCCCGUCACACCAUGGGAGUGGGUUGCAAAAGAAGUAGGUAGCUUAACCUUCGGGAGGGCGCUUACCACUUUGUGAUUCAUGACUGGGGUGAAGUCGUAACAAGGUAACC
rnacentral:rRNA from 1 species